CAAGGGGUAUCCACCAGCCUUGCAAUAUUGGGCAUACGAGACGAUUCUUGAUUUACAGAAGGAACACGCCAAGCCCUGUGGAUUCAAGUUCCCUAGGAUGCUACAGUGGGAGAGCAUAGGCCAGCCGAAGCAUUUGCAUUUGAAGGAUGUACUUGCGAGGAGACAUUUGUCAUGCAUUUCUAUCCUAAGGCCUCGACCAAAUGAGCGAGACUUCUUUGAUGCCGUAUAUCAGAGGACAGAGGGGAAUGCUCCUAGGUAUGCGAUGCUGCAGAAUAUGAUCCAGCCUGCACCAGAGGAUGGAAGACCUUACGAUCCUGAGGUAGAGGCUGUUGCGGUGGCUGAGAUAGCCGUUGAGGCUGGCAUAUUUGUGGAGGAUGCCCCGACAGAGUCUGCUCCAGAUACUAGUACAUAACCUACUUCUGCUUCUGCUCCUGGGGCUUAUGAGGAGGUGUUGGGUGAGAUAGCCAGACUAUCAGGUGCAAUGGACGAUGUUAAGGCCACUCUAGGUAUCGUCCUUAAAAAUCAAGAAGUCAUAUUAGAGAAGCUGGCAACACUAGGUGGUAUACCUACUCCUGCACCUACUCCUACAAAUACUCAUGCACCCACUCCAACACAUGAUGUAGAGUAUGACAUUCUCCCCUCAUGUUACGAGCCUUCUGUUGGAGAAGCCACACUUUCUCAGCCAGUGCAGACGGUCUUAGGUACGACUAAUCCAUGAGUUUUUUGUUUUUGUUUUAAAGAGAUUAGAUACUAAUUGCUCCUUUACAGGUAAGCGCACUAGACAGAGACCAGUAAGGUACGAGGACUAUACUCCAGCAGCCAAGAAACCAAAGUUCAAGGACCCAGUUACGAUCCUUCCUUUAAAGGUGUUGGAUAAAGAUAUGUCGACAACUUUUAACCGAUGGGUACUCGGUGAGAUUGACAACAGCAGACCGAGGAAGUUAGAAUGUUGGGAUGGGACCCCUGUUUGGUUCUUGAAGUUGAAGGUGGCAAAAGAAUGGUUGGCAGAAACUCAUCUCGACGCUGCGAAUUAUCUUAUACGGAGACGUCUUUUUGAGUUGCCGAAGACGUACCCCGUGAAAGCCACCGUACUUGAUUCAUCAUUUGCACAAUAUAUUCCUGCCAGAUUCGAGGAAUUCAAGAAAAAUGGCAGGACUUACUAAUGGGACUUGGACAUUCUUGAUUUCCUGAAAGGAGAUGUCAAAAAGCACAAGAAGCCUUGGGGUGAUUGCAA